GUGAUGUAAAAGCUUUUAUGAAAAAACAACAGGACCAAAACACAACAAACAUCCCACUCAAAAUAUACAAACAAACAAACAAAUUCUCAACCUCCAACUCCACCGCAGCCGCCACCACCGGAAACCGGUCCGCCGCCGCAGAUGGGUGUUGCAGAACCGGUUGUAGAGAGAGAAACUGAAGAACAUGUUGAUGUUGAUCACCACAAACAACAGGAUGAAAUCAAACAAACCCAUAAAGAUUUAGAAAAAGGUGAAAUGGGUCAUGAUCAUCAACAACAACAUGUGUCAAGAAUGCAAAGAUUAAGUGCCACUAAUCCAUUAAGACUUGUGAUGGAUAGUGCCACUAGAGUACCACCUACACCCACCUUUAACCGUGGCCCCACCACCGCCUCCCACCACCCACCACCACCACAACCACCACCACCCGCCACCACCCACCCCUCCCCACCACCACCCACCGCCAACCCCCGUGCCAUCCCCACCCCUAUCCCCAUCCCCAUCCCCACCCCUCUCAACACCACACCUACCCCUCAAUUUCAGCCAUCUAUGACCACACUCAACUCAAGAAGAUACACCAACAAGAUAUCCCUUUUCUUGUUCACCCUGCAUUUCUUAGUUGCAGUCUGUCUGGUCUUCUUCUUAGUGUUCAAAGGGGUUCAAGGACUAGUACAAGGAGGCAGUGCAAGAAGAAAAGAAAGAAGGGUAAUUCAGUACUUUCUCCCACAAGUUGAAGCAGCAUCACUAUUAAGCAUCACAUUAGCAUUCUCAUGGCAAAAAGCAGUUAGGGUUUGGCCUCAUUUCAUGGUGCAAUUCAUCCUAUGGAGCUCCUUCCUCAUGACAUUGUCAGCAGGCAUCCUCCUAAUCUGCAUCCAACGCCCGAGCACCGAUGGAGUCGGUGUCGUGUUCAUACUCUUCGCUAUCGGUAACGGGUUGUACGCGUGUUGGGUGACCCAAAGAACCAAGUUUUGCAGUAGGGUUUUCUUGAAAGCGCUUGAGCCCGUAUCGAAAUUCCAUGAUAUAAACCGGCCAACGUAUUGGAUGCUUGGGAUUGGGUUCGUUUGGAUGUCGAUUUGGAUACUUGCGGUGAUCGGGGCUUUGAAUUUUUAUUUUCCCCCUUUGGUGAUUAUCUUGUUGGUGUUGAGCUUGCUUUGGACAGCUGAGGUUAUGCGAAAUGUUGCGAAUUUGACGAUUAGUCGGGUGAUCGCUUUGUUUUAUCUUCGUGGAAUGCAAUCGAAUACGCAGUUUUGUUUUCAACGCGCACUGUCGAAGAACCUUGGGAGUGCUUGUUUGGGUUCUUUGUUUGUUCCAACGAUCGAAGCUUUGAGGAUUGUUGCUAGAGGUCUGAAUUUGCUUGAAGGAGAAGAUGAGUUCAUGUUCUCUUGUGCACAUUGUUGUCUUAAAGUUAUGGAAACAAUUUUCAGAUAUGGCAAUGGCUGGGCUUAUGUUCAGAUCGCAGCGUACGGAAAAGGGUUCGUAAAAGCAUCACAAGACACUUGGGAACUCUUUGAGAAACGAGAAAUGGAAUUGAUCGUCGAUUCUGACAUCACUACCGCGAUAUGCUUCCUCACCGGAGUUUGUAGCGGUUCUAUAUGCGUCAUUAUGGUGGCUGCGUGGACUGCCGCCGUGCAUGUAACCUACACCGCCACCAUCUCUCUCCUUGCUUUCAUCGUCGGGUAUCUAAUGACGAGGAUCGCGAUGGCAUUACCUCACGCUUGUGUGAGUUGUUACUAUGUGUGUUACGCUGAGAACCCUGAUAAUAGGUUGUUUGACGACACCAUCCCAAAACGGCUCGAUCUGAUUAAAUCUAACCGAGAUGUGGUGGUCCCAACGCCUCGAGUUCCUCCACGUUUUAGAAGAUAACAUAUGCUUUUUAAGUUUUGAUCUUUUUUAGUCAAUUAACUAUAAAUGGUGUAUUCUUUUAGCAAUUUCUGUUGGAGGAAAAUAAAGAUCAGUUAAGUUUCUGUUAGAGGAAAGAUUAAGGGGGGUGUUGGUACAUAUAGCAGGACCAUAGGGGAAUAUUUGUAUGUUGGAUAAGAUUGAGGGGUUAGUUAGAAAUAUAUUUGAAAAAAUAUUUUUUUUUUAAAUAGAAGAAAACUAUAACAAGCAAUUAUAAAAACAAGAUAAUGGUUAGAGCAUGUUUUGGACACGUCAUGUACGUGUCAUGCCGGAUGGUUCGUACUAUAAUAAAAUAUUUAAUUUAUUAAAAUAUCAAUCAAGAUCGUAUCCACUUUUCUUUUUUUAAUCCACUUGAUUUGGUAGAAUGGUGAGUCAACCAUCAUGGUUAAUAUGGUUAAUAAAUUAAGGGUUAUUGGAUUUUAAUAAGGGAUAAUUACUAAAAUAGCUAUUGAAUGGUUAAUUUUUCAAAAAUGGACAACUGAAACGAGUUUCGCCACGACUUAAAAGAUCUUUCCUCAAUAACCACUUAUCUUUUGACACGUGUCGACCACCUUUAUCUCUCCUCUUUUUUUUUUUUUUCAUAAAUGCAAUUUCUCAAAGACGUUUCUCUCUCCCCUUUUUAUCCUUAUACACUUUCUCUCUCUAGAAACUAUUUUCAAAGAAAAUGAAAACUUUAACACACCCAUCAUUAGAAAACAAAGAAAGAAGAGUCCACACACACAACCCAUCAUCUCUGUCUCCAGCGAUUUCAGAUUUUCCGUCAACGAUGCCGGAGCACACGACAACAAUUGAUUACGUCAUGGAGGCCGCCUCCGGUCCUCAUUUUUCCGGCUUGCAUCUCGACGAUCGAUUCCUUUCUUCUUCAUUUACCGAUUCAAUCAAGAAAACCAACUGUUGUGAAGUAAAGAGACUGAUGAUGAUCAAGAAAACAAAUCAAAGAGACUGAAAAUGAUCAAGAAAACAAAGCAAAGCAAAGAUUUUAUGAAGAGAAACCAACUGUUGUGUAUCACUGGUUAACUGGGUUUGGGGUACAAACAAUAAUUUUUCCAGGAUUUGGUUCAGAGAUUCGGAUAUCAGUUUUGAAGAGGAGAGAGAAGAAGUCUCUUCAAAUAGGAGAGAGAGAGAGAGAGGAGAGAGAAGAAGAGAAGAGAGAUGAUAGGUCUAUCCGAUGUACUCUGCAUUUAUGAAAAAAAUGAGGAGAGAUAAAGGUGUCGCCACAUGUCAAAAGAUGAGUGAUUGUUGAGGAAGAUCUUUUAAGGUGCUGUUUGUUUUUUCUGCUGGAAAACCUCUUCUGCUGCAGGCCACAUCUGCAGGCAUCUGCAGGAGAAGAGGUGGACCAAAUGUCUUCAGUCUGCAAGGAGAAGAGUGUUUGUUUUUUUUUUAUAUAAAACCUCUUCACACACAAACACACACAGAUCUCUCUCUACUCUCUCUCUACCACCGCCAUCUUCACCACCGCCAUCUUCACCACCGCCACCACUUCACCACCGUCAUCAUCACCACCGCCAUCUUCACCACCGCCACCAUCUUCACCACCGCCACCACUUCACCACCGUCAUCUUCACCACCGUCAUCUUCACCACCGUCAUCUUCACCACCGUCAUCAUCACCACCGCCAUCAUCACCACCACUUCACCACCGCCAUCAUCAUCACCGCCAUCGAUUUAGGGUUUCGGAGGUGGAGGUCGAUUUGGGGGUUUUGUUUCUGAUCGAUUUGGGGGGUUUGUUUCGGAGGUGGAGGUCGAUUAGGGUUUGCAGAGGUCGAUUAGGGUUUGCAGAGGUGGAGGUGGUGGUCGAUUAGGGUUUGCAGAGGUCGAUUAGGGUUUGCAGAGGUGGAGGUGGUGGUGGCGGAGCAGGGGUGGUGGUGGUGGCGGAGCAGGGGUGGUGGUGGUGGCGGAGCAGGGGUGGAGGUGGAGGUGGUGCCAAGAAGAGGUAAACCUCUUCUUGGAGAAGCUAAGGUCUCAUCUCUUCCCCAAGAAGAGGUUGGGGAGAGGUAAAAAGCACUUCUCGAAAAAAAAAAAAAA